rnacentral:sRNA from 1 species
AAGAUGUUCCACUAUUUCCCACAAUUUCUUCUAGUGUCUGCCAAGGAGGAAUAUUGCUAUGUACUGGCGAGAACUGUACCAAGUGUCACAUCGAUCAGUUUGAAUGUCUUGAGAGUCAUAAAUGCAUUUCAAACAGCAGCGUUUGUGAUGAAGUCCAAGAUUGCGAAGAUGGAUCAGAUGAGUCUUCAGAUGAAUGUUUAGAGCUGGAUACUACAGUUCAUGAAGAAGUUACAGAAAUCACAACAGUUUUUGAAGAAGGAACAGAAACAUUUGCGCCAGAAAUCACAACAGUUUUUGAAGAAGGAACAGAAACAUUUGCGCCAGAAAUCACAACAGUUUCUGAAGCAGUUACAGAAACAUUUGCGCCAGAAAUCACAGUUUCUGAAGAAGUUACAGAAA